UUCAGUCACGCCAGGUUUUAACCCAUUGUAGAGCCCGUUUUUCCAUCAUUUGUAGACCACCUUGUUCUGUGAGCCUUACUCCAGUAAACAGCUGGUUGCUGAUUUCAGUAUUCCAGACCCAUAGAUAGUAUGAAGACACUUCAUCUUUUGGAGAGCACAGUUCUUUUUACCUCAUGUGGUCCACCCACGACUCAGGAAUGCGAAUAAAGUAGUCAAAGUUCACAUAUUCUGUACUAGUCAGAGGUUAACUUGUCGGAGAGAGGGCGCCCUCGGUGCUCCAUGUUCGUCAUAAACACCAAUGAGCUGAAGAGCUUGGACAAAUAAUACCCGACAUCUGGUAUAACCCUGUGGUCUUUUAGCACUUCGUUUAUAACAAUUAGAACUCGAAUGGAAGGAAAGGGGGAAACGAAACCACAUCUUGACCCAUGGCAACAUCCGAAGCGGCUAAGAAUCAACGAAGGAUAGAAACGGGGGAAUAGGCGUCUAAGGUGUCGUAAAGAUAACCAGUGUUGCCCUCCCUGAAUACAUCUGUUUUAGACUUGGGGAUGAACACCUAAAUGCCUUUGUUGUCGUCGAGAUAUGAAAGGUGACUGGCUUUAAGUGCCGCCAUUUUGUUAUCACAAAGAACAACGCGUACUUGCGGCAGACGUAGCAGGCCGUGCGCAAAUCCAAAAGAGAACCACCGGGUGCAGCGAACGUAUCAAUGAUAGCUUUAACUUGAACUAGACUCAAUGGCUGCUUUUGUAAUUGGGAAUGCAUGGAUGGUGCAGUGCCUGACGACCACUAACAAUAAGGUGUUGAACCACAGGGGAAUCAACAAGGUUGUGCUUAUUUACCAAGGAGUGCAACCAUUUCAGCGAGGCGGCGGUAGUCCCAAGAACACUGUCAGAAUUAGACUGCUGUUUAACGUGGUAAAGGUAAGCGGCCAACACCCCAUAAGAAAACGGCAGACAUGGGGAAAGACCACGCGACUCCGUCCAGGAAAAAAAACUGUCGGCAUUUGUAGAAAUAAGAGGUGACUGUGCCGUCGGAUUUGGCUAAAAUAGCAUCACGAAGAAUUUGUUUCCGUAAUUCUUGAAACCGGUCGGGGAAGGUUAGCCAGAAGGGAUGACUACGGACUAUCUAUAUAUACAUGAGAAAGGAAACAAAAUAAAUCAAGAAUGGAUGUAAAUUUAGUACAACAGUGGUGAAAUAAAAAAGGCAGCAGCUACCACCCCGUCAAAAUCAGGGGAGCCUAGAAAAGGAGUUCUUAUUCCGACCGUGCUGUAGGGCAACAACAGCAGAAUCUGUGCUGUACCCAAGCUUU